rnacentral:rRNA from 1 species
UACGAAGGGUGCAAGCGUUACUCGGAAUUACUGGGCGUAAAGCGUGCGUAGGCGGCUCGUUAAGUCUGAUGUGAAAGCCCUGGGCUCAACCUGGGAAUGGCAUUGGAAACUGGCGGGCUAGAGUGCGGGAGAGGGUAGUGGAAUUCCCGGUGUAGCAGUGAAAUGGGUAGAGAUCGGGAGGAACAUCCGUGGCGAAGGCGACUGCCUGGACCAGCACUGACACUGAGGCGCGAAAGCGUGGGGAGCAAACAGG